AAUAAGUUUAUUUAUAGGUUUGUCUUCAAUACUUGACCAUCCGUUUUAUUUAAAAUUUUGUUAUGAUCAGUAUUUUUGUUGUUAUUAGAUGAUAAAAACAUGUAUAAUAUUUUGUGUGUGAGUUAUUUCUUUUAAUUUUUUAUAUUUUUUUUAAUAAAACGGACGAUCACCCCGUUAAAUACAGAAUAUAUAAAUAAACUUAUU
rnacentral:pre_miRNA from 1 species